CGGGUACUAUUUAACGAAAGCUCAGGGUCUCUUUAGAAAAUUUCACAGCCGAAAGGAGAGCGCUCCUGGGCGCUGGGCGGUGGCCGACGGCGACCUCCGGCGGCGGGCGCCAUGGCCGGGGCUCUGAGCUCGCCGGAGACAUCGGAUCUCGCGUUUCGGUACGCUAGAGAACAAAAGAAAAACACCGGGCGGGGGAGGAGCUCACCGCGAUCUCGUCUAUGUGCUUGGUUCGGUCCGAAAGGGAGUAGGAGGAGCGCGCGGCGGUGGGGGCUUGACUCAACCUCGGCGAGAUCUAAGCUUCGGUGCUACGGCGGCUAGGGCGGCUAUGCGUCGCAUGAAGAUGCAAAGGGAAGAGCGUGGCGACUUUCCAGGGGUCUUAUAGCGCCCAGUGACGCUCUGCGAUCCAAUCCAGGGAGAAUCGGGAUUUCCCUUCCGUGGCCGGCUCGGACUCCAUGGCGAAGAAGGAAAGGGAGAACCGCAUCGCUGCCAGUGGGUCCCAGACGUCAGCGCGAUAGGAAGAGAAAGGAGGGGGUGCUAUCGGGCGGGAUCCGGAAGAGGGGGCACGCGGCCUGGGCUUUGGCUCACGGUUCAGUAGGGAGUCCGGCUCCUUGCCGUCUCUAGGUAGAAGACGGCGCCGACAAGUGGGGCCAAGCCGUCAGCGACUCUAGUCGUGGGGUCCGCGCAUCAGAGUAAGAAAGGAAGGGAAAGGGGGAGGGCGCGGGCAGGCUGGGCUGAGGAGUUGGGCCGCGCAGAGGGGGAAGAGACGGGCCGCGCAAAGGGCCACAGUGAGGGGGAGAGGGGAAGUGCUGGGCCUCAGGUCAGAAAUAUGGAGAGGGAGAGGUUUUCUUUUUUUUUCUCUUUUUUUCUUUCUUUUAUUCCAAAAGCCAUUUCAAGUCCCUUUUUAAAAUCAGUUUUGAAGUACUUUUGAACUUUACUCAAAGUCACACAAUACAAAAAUACAAAUGCUCCAGCAUGAGUGCACAUACAUGUUACUAAACCCUAUGAUAAGUUUUAGUUUAAUGAAAAAUAUUAUUCCCCUAUGUUUCAUGAGCACAAAAAUUCAUAAAUAAAUCAUUUUUUACCUAUUUUUAAAAUGAGCAAAAUUUAGGGUGUUACAUAAUAGUCCCUGCUACACAUUUAUUCUAACCUAAGGUUUACUACGUUUUAGCAAAUAUUAGUAGCUAAUGCAUCGUCUAUGUGAAGCAUUAUUAAAAAAUUAUCAUAAUUUUUUGAGUACAUAAUAGGUAAUAAAUUGAUUGUGAUACCGUGCACUAUAUACCACCUGAAUCCGUAGUGAAAGUCUCUUAAUUCUAACCUUCCAUCCAUGCAUACUGGUGUCAUUCCUGUUCGUCCCAAACAUCUCAGGCAUGACACACCCUGGCCGGAUGCUGCAAUAUGGCCGCAUCCCUAACCAGAGCACAAAAAUUUUGAUUUCAGAGAGCAAACCUUGGGUAUACCUAACGUAAUUAUUGAAAAAGAUAAAUGGAAUUUGAUAAUGAAUUAGUACACAGUACAAUAUUGACGUUACUUUGAAAUGUGAGAGUCCUUGGAAUGUCGUCCUUCAAUCCCAGUAUAUAAAUUGAUCAGCAGUAAUAUGACAUUCCUCAUUCGGGUAUAUAAAAUGAAAUGUUAAUAACAGAAUGGCCGGUGUGUACUGAUAAAACUCUGGCAUUAUUGUCUCGAGAAUCAAGAAGCUUCUCUGGUUUCAAAAUCAAAAAGGGAUGGAAGGUAGUUACUACUCCUAGUCUUUUUUGGCAUAAAAAUAAGAGCGUUCAGCAAUCAUCGU
rnacentral:lncRNA from 1 species